GUGCCUUGCGCACGUGGAGGGAGCACACGCGGGGUCCCUGUCUCCUACACUGGUGUUGAGGUUGCACAUGGGAGUCCCCGUGCCUUGCACAGGUGGGGGGGGGCACGCGUGGGGUUCCCCGGGCCUUGCACAUGUUAGGGGGGUGCACGAGGAGCCCCUGGGCCUUGCGAAAGCCUGGGGAGUGCAUGUGGGGCCCCGGGGCCUUGCACACGUGUGGGGGAUUUAGGUGGGGCCCCGGGGCCUUGCACACGUGUCGGGGGCACAGGUAGGGGGCCCUGGGGCCUUGCACGUGCAGGGGGUGCAGGUGGGGGCCCUGCCUUGCACACGUGGGGGGAGUGCACAUGGGCUUCGCCGGGCCUUGCACAUGUUAGAGGGCUGCACGAGGAGCCCCUGAGCAUUGCACACGGGUGGGGGKGUGCAGGCGGGGGCCCUGGGGCCAUGCACACGGGUGUGGGGCACAGAUGGGGACCGAGGGCCAUGCACAUGCGUGCGGGGGGCGCAGGCGGGGGACCUGCCUCGCCCACACGGUCACCCUGAUGCCGGGGCGCCCCGGGGAGCGGGGGCACGUCCGCUGCCCAGGGGGCUCCGCCGCUCCUCCGCCCCGCAGUGGCCCUACUGCCGGAAGCUCUGCACCUACUGCAACUUCAACAAGUACGUGCCGCGGGCCGUGGACGAGGCGGCCGUGCGGGCCUGCCUGGAGCGCGAGGCCCGCACCCUGCUCCGCCUGGGCCAGGUGCAGAGCGUCACCUCCGUCUUCUUCGGCGGCGGCACCCCCAGCCUGGCCAGCGCCGGCACCGUGGCCGCCGUGCUGGAGGCCAUCGCCGGGGCGGCCCRCCUGCCCGCCGACGCCGAGGUCACCCUGGAGGCCAACCCCAGCUCCGCCGGCGCCCGCCGCCUCGCCGCCUUCAAGGCGGCCGGCGUCAACCGCCUCUCGCUGGGCGUGCAGUCGCUGGACGACGCCGAGCUGCGGCUCCUGGGCCGGG
rnacentral:lncRNA from 1 species